UACGUAGGGGGCAAGCGUUGUCCGGAAUCAUUGGGCGUAAAGAGCGUGUAGGCGGCCCGGUAAGUCUGUUGUGAAAGUCCAGGGCUCAACCCUGGAAUGCCGAUGGAUACUGCCGGGCUAGAGUUCGGAAGAGGCGAGUGGAAUUCCUGGUGUAGCGGUGGAAUGCGCAGAUAUCAGGAGGAACACCCUAUAGCGAAGGCAGCUCGCUGGGACGACACUGACGCUGAGACGCGAAGCGUGG
rnacentral:rRNA from 1 species